ACUCCUACGGGAGGCAGCAGUGGGGAAUCUUGCGCAAUGGGCGAAAGCCUGACGCAGCCAUGCCGCGUGAAUGAUGAAGGUCUUAGGAUUGUAAAAUUCUUUCACCGGGGACGAUAAUGACGGUACCCGCAGAAGAAGCCCCGGCUAACUUCGUGCCAGCAGCCGCGGUAAU
rnacentral:rRNA from 1 species